rnacentral:rRNA from 1 species
UCAAGCUGUAAAGGGCGCAAGGGGAAUGCCUUGGCACUGAGAGCCGAUGAAGGACGCGACAAGCUGCGAUAAGCUACGGGGAGCCGCAAAUGGGCUUUGAUCCGUAGAUUUCCGAAUGGGGAAACCCGGCAGAGCAAUACUCUGUCAACGUACACUGAAUACAUAGGUGUACGUGGGGAACCGCCUGAACUGAAACAUCUAAGUAGGGCGAGGAAGAGAAAUCAACCGAGAUUCCGCUAGUAGUGGCGAGCGAACGCGGAAGAGGCCAAACCGGAGGUAGCAAUAUUUCCGGGGUUAGGACUGCAAUAUGUAACUUUAAUCUUUAACUGAAUGCUUUGGGAAGAGCAGCGAAACAGGGUGAUAGCCCCGUAAGUGAAAAGGAUUGAGUGCUAGCAGUAUCCAGAGUACCAGCGGACACGUGAAACCCGCUGGGAAGAUGGGGGGACCAUCCUCCAAGCCUAAAUACUACUCAGUGACCGAUAGUGGAGCAGUACCGUGAGGGAAAGGUGAAAAGUACCCCGGGAGGGGAGUGAAAGAGAACCUGAAACCUUGUGCCUACAAGCACCGAGAGCACGUUAAAGUGUGAUCGGGUACUUUUUGUAGAACGGUCCGGCGAGUUAAUAUUUGCAGCGAGGUUAAGUAACUGGAGUUACGGAGCCGCAGCGAGAGCGAGUCUGAAUAGGGCGUAUGAAGUUGCAGGUAUUAGACCCGAAACCGGGUGACCUAUCCAUGAGCAGGCUGAAGCGGUGGUAAGACACCGUGGAGGGCCGCACCCACGUCUGUUGAAAAAGCCGGGGAUGACUUGUGGAUAGCGGAGAAAUUCCAAUCGAACUCGGAGAUAGCUGGUUCUCCCCGAAAUAGCUUUAGGGCUAGCGUUAUUUUAGAUUACCGGAGGUAAAGCACUGAAUGGUCUAGGGGCCGCGAGGUUACCAAAGCCUAUCAAACUCUGAAUGCCGGAUAAUUGAUGAAUAGCAGUCAGACUGUGUGAGAUAAGUCUCAUAGUCAAAAGGGAAACAGCCCAGAUCUACAGCUAAGGUCCCAAAUGAACACUAAGUGGAAAAUGAUGUGAAACUGCGAAGACAACCAGGAUGUUGGCUUAGAAGCAGCCACUCAUUCAAAGAGUGCGUAAUAGCUCACUGGUCGAGUGGUUUUGCGCAGAAAAUGUAACGGGGCUAAGUGUUCAACCGAAGCUUAGGCAUUGUACUUUGUACAUUGGGUAGGGGAGCGUCGUAUGCGGGGCGAAGUCAGAGCGGAAGCACUGGUGGACUGCAUACGAGUGAGAAUGCCGGAAUAAGUAGCGAGAAUUAUGUGAGAAUCAUAAUGGCCGAAAAUCUAAGGUUUCCUGGGGAAGGUUCGUCCGCCCAGGGUUAGUCGGGAGCUAAGCUCAGGCCGAAAGGCGUAGGCGAUGCACAUACGGUAGAAAUUCCGUAACCACCGAACUUUAAGCUAGAGGGACGCUUUCUUUAAGGUUAUCCCGGGCGAUGGUUGCCCCGGGCGUAAGGGACCGAAAUUUAGUAGGGAAGUAACUGGCGAGAGAGACGAGAAAAGCUCUAGUGUAUACUAAGGUGCCCGUACCGCAAACCGACACAGGUAGAAGGGAUGAGUAUUCUAAGGCCAACGGGAGAAGGGUUGUUAAGGAACUCGGCAAAUUGGCCCCGUAACUUCGGGAUAAGGGGCGCCUGCGAGAGCAGGCCGCAGUGAAAAGGCCCAAGCGACUGUUUAGCAAAAACACAGCUCUCUGCUAAAUCGAAAGAUGACGUAUAGGGGGUGACGCCUGCCCGGUGCUGGAAGGUUAAGGGGAGUGCUUAGCGCAAGCGAAGGUGCGAACUUAAGCCCCAGUAAACGGCGGCCGUAACUAUAACGGUCCUAAGGUAGCGAAAUUCCUUGUCAGGUAAGUUCUG